AUGCUCAUUUCAGCAGCACAUAUGCUAAAAAUUGGAAUGAUACAGAGAAUACCAGGGCUCCUCGACCAGGAUGACACGUCAAUUCAUGGAGCAUUCCAUAUUUUU
ensembl:snRNA U6 U6 spliceosomal RNA